rnacentral:rRNA from 1 species
AUAAGUUCCAAGAGCCGCAUGGCCCAUGGAAGAAAAGGUGGCCUCUACCUGUAAGCUAUCGCCUGAAGAGGGGUUUGCGUCUGAUUAGCUGGUUGGAGGGGUAACGGCCCACCAAGGCGACGAUCAGUAGCCGGUCUGAAGGAUGAACGGCCACACUGGAACUGAGACACGGUCCAGACUCCUACGGGAGGCAGCAGUGGGGAAUCUUCCGCAAUGGGCGAAAGCCUGACGGAGCAACGCCGCGUGAGUGAUGACGGCCUUCGGGUUGUAAAACUCUGUGAUCCGGGACGAAAAGGCAGAGUGCGAAGAACAAACUGCAUUGACGGUACCGGAAAAGCAAGCC